GACAGAGGGUGCAAACGUUGCUCGGAAUCACUGGGCGUAAAGCGCGUGUAGGCGGACUUCCAAGUCAGAUGUGAAAUCCCUGGGCUCAACCCAGGAACUGCAUUUGAAACUGGGAGCCUUGAGUGUCGGAGAGGAAAGUGGAAUUCCUGGUGUAGAGGUGAAAUUCGUAGAUAUCAGGAGGAACACCGGUGGCGAAGGCGGCUUUCUGGACGACAACUGACGCUGAGACGCGAAAGCGUGGGGAGCAAACAGG
rnacentral:rRNA from 1 species